rnacentral:rRNA from 1 species
AGAGUUUGAUCCUGGCUCAGAACGUACGCUGGCGGCACGCCUAACACAUGCAAGUCGAACGAAGUAGCAAUACUUAGUGGCAGACGGGUGAGUAACAUGUGGGUAUCUGCCCUUUGGCCUGGAAUAACACGAGGAAACUUGUGCUAAUACCGGAUAAGUCUUUACGGAGAAAGCUUUAUGCACCAUUGGAUGAGCCCGCACUUGAUUAGUUUGUUGGUGGGGUAAUGGCCUACCAAGACUGUGAUCAAUAGCUGAUUUGAGAGGAUGAUCAGCCACAUUGGGACUGAGACACGGCCCAAACUCCUACGGGAGGCAGCAGUGGGGAAUCUUGCACAAUGGAGGAAACUCUGAUGCAGCGAUGCCGCGUGAGUGAAGAAGGCCCUUGGGUUGUAAAGCUCUUUCGUCGGGGAAGAAAAUGACUGUACCCGAAUAAGAAGGUCCGGCUAACUUCGUGCCAGCAGCCGCGGUAAUACGAAGGGACCUAGCGUAGUUCGGAAUUACUGGGCUUAAAGAGUUCGUAGGUGGUUGAAAAAGUUAGUGGUGAAAUCCCAGAGCUUAACUCUGGAACUGCCAUUAAAACUUUUCAGCUAGAGUAUGAUAGAGGAAAGCAGAAUUUCUAGUGUAGAGGUGAAAUUCGUAGAUAUUAGAAAGAAUACCAAUUGCGAAGGCAGCUUUCUGGAUCAUUACUGACACUGAGGAACGAAAGCAUGGGUAGCGAAGAGGAUUAGAUACCCUCGUAGUCCAUGCCGUAAACGAUGUGUGUUAGACGUUGGAAAUUUAUUUUCAGUGUCGCAGCGAAAGCGAUAAACACACCGCCUGGGGAGUACGACCGCAAGGUUAAAACUCAAAGGAAUUGACGG